rnacentral:rRNA from 1 species
UACGUAGGCAGCGAGCGUUGUUCGGAGUUACUGGGCGUAAAGAGUGCGUAGGCGGUUUUCUAAGUUUGGUGUGAAAUCUCCCGGCCUAACUGGGAGGGUGCGCCGAAGACUGGAAGGCUCAGAGUGUGGGAGAGGUAAGCGGAAUUCCUGGUGUAGCGGUGAAAUGCGUAGAUAUCAGGAGGAACACCUGCGGUGUAGACGGCUUACUGGACCAUAACUGACGCUGAGGCACGAAAGCGUGGGUAGCAAACAGG